UUCCUAGCCUAUCCCACCCCUAACGUGCUUUUUCCUUAAGCUUCUAACGAGCGUGAGAACCGCUCUCUCCCGUUCGAGCUUCGAGAACUUGCGAACUGACUUCUUCGAUCCAGAGGCUGCCAGCCAGGGUGGGGUAGGGGGUAUAGAGGCAAGCGCGGUAAUUAAGGGAAACUAACGACGCCGAAGACCCUGGAGGACACGGGCCGAUAGUUAAUGCGACCCGUCACCGUAUUAUUCAUCGAACUUUUUGCCAUGUAGUAUGCUCUGAACUUUUCAAUGGUGUUACAGGGAAUCAUGGAUGGCGAAGGGAUUUUAUUGUCUGCUCGAACGGUCUUGAAUUUUAACGACGGCGAAGAUUCGGCGAAAUAAAUUCGAAUAGAAGAUGUAUCGGCGAGAAACAGCUUCGCUACUUUUCUCAACAGGUGGAAGUUAUUUGGUAUUACGCGAAAAGAAGCAGGAAUGCGGAAGUGUGCAGAGUGUUUUUCACGAUCGGUAGCAGUGCAGGACGAUCGUUAACAAAUCUGCCGGACCGGUCAAUGUUUAACGAGGUCGUGUGUCCCUGGUAAAGCGAAAGUCUAAUCACGGCCGACCGAUAAAUAAAUCGGUCUAGCUAAACAGCAAAUCAGUUAGGAGGAUGGUGUGAUUUCAGGGAAGAGCACGCGGCCCGGUACGGUGGCGAAGGGGGUUUGGGGUACUUCCAUCACGUAUUUACACGCUAUGCUUGCUGAUUGGCGUGCGCGGCUACCAACGUUUUAAUGAUUUACCCUUGGAGAAUGGCAUUUAGCCUAGGACGAUGUAACGUGAUUUAUUAUUGAUUGCCGAUUAUUGAUUCACGCCGAGUAAACGUAAUUCGAU